rnacentral:rRNA from 1 species
CACUCCUACGGGAGGCAGCAGUGGGGAAUAUUGCACAAUGGGCGCAAGCCUGAUGCAGCCAUGCCGCGUGUAUGAAGAAGGCCUUCGGGUUGUAAAGUACUUUCAGCGGGGAGGAAGGCAAUACGGUUAAUAACCGUGUUGAUUGACGUUACCCGCAGAAGAAGCACCGGCUAACUCCGUGCCAGCAGCCGCGGUAAUACGGAGGGUGCAAGCGUUAAUCGGAAUUACUGGGCGUAAAGCGCACGCAGGCGGUCUGUCAAGUCGGAUGUGAAAUCCCCGGGCUCAACCUGGGAACUGCAUUCGAAACUGGCAGGCUUGAGUCUUGUAGAGGGGGGUAGAAUUCCAGGUGUAGCGGUGAAAUGCGUAGAGAUCUGGAGGAAUACCGGUGGCGAAGGCGGCCCCCUGGACAAAGACUGACGCUCAGGUGCGAAAGCGUGGGGAGCAAACAGGAUUAGAAACCCGGGUAGUCCC